GCCUGCCUAGCUCAAUCGGAUAGAGCGUCAGACUUUUAUGUUUAAGGCGGUCAUCUGAAGGCUGCGAGUUCGACCCUCGCGGUGGGGC